AGAGUUUGAUCCUGGCUCAGGAUGAACGCUGGCGGCGUGCCUAAUACAUGCAAGUCGAGCGAACGGACGAGAAGCUUGCUUCUCUGAUGUUAGCGGCGGACGGGUGAGUAACACGUGGAUAACCUACCUAUAAGACUGGGAUAACUUCGGGAAACCGGAGCUAAUACCGGAUAAUAUUUUGAACCGCAUGGUUCAAAAGUGAAAGACGGUCUUGCUGUCACUUAUAGAUGGAUCCGCGCUGCAUUAGCUAGUUGGUAAGGUAACGGCUUACCAAGGCAACGAUGCAUAGCCGACCUGAGAGGGUGAUCGGCCACACUGGAACUGAGACACGGUCCAGACUCCUACGGGAGGCAGCAGUAGGGAAUCUUCCGCAAUGGGCGAAAGCCUGACGGAGCAACGCCGCGUGAGUGAUGAAGGUCUUCGGAUCGUAAAACUCUGUUAUUAGGGAAGAACAUAUGUGUAAGUAACUGUGCACAUCUUGACGGUACCUAAUCAGAAAGCCACGGCUAACUACGUGCCAGCAGCCGCGGUAAUACGUAGGUGGCAAGCGUUAUCCGGAAUUAUUGGGCGUAAAGCGCGCGUAGGCGGUUUUUUAAGUCUGAUGUGAAAGCCCACGGCUCAACCGUGGAGGGUCAUUGGAAACUGGAAAACUUGAGUGCAGAAGAGGAAAGUGGAAUUCCAUGUGUAGCGGUGAAAUGCGCAGAGAUAUGGAGGAACACCAGUGGCGAAGGCGACUUUCUGGUCUGUAACUGACGCUGAUGUGCGAAAGCGUGGGGAUCAAACAGGAUUAGAUACCCUGGUAGUCCACGCCGUAAACGAUGAGUGCUAAGUGUUAGGGGGUUUCCGCCCCUUAGUGCUGCAGCUAACGCAUUAAGCACUCCGCCUGGGGAGUACGACCGCAAGGUUGAAACUCAAAGGAAUUGACGGGGACCCGCACAAGCGGUGGAGCAUGUGGUUUAAUUCGAAGCAACGCGAAGAACCUUACCAAAUCUUGACAUCCUUUGACAACUCUAGAGAUAGAGCCUUCCCCUUCGGGGGACAAAGUGACAGGUGGUGCAUGGUUGUCGUCAGCUCGUGUCGUGAGAUGUUGGGUUAAGUCCCGCAACGAGCGCAACCCUUAAGCUUAGUUGCCAUCAUUAAGUUGGGCACUCUAAGUUGACUGCCGGUGACAAACCGGAGGAAGGUGGGGAUGACGUCAAAUCAUCAUGCCCCUUAUGAUUUGGGCUACACACGUGCUACAAUGGACAAUACAAAGGGCAGCGAAACCGCGAGGUCAAGCAAAUCCCAUAAAGUUGUUCUCAGUUCGGAUUGUAGUCUGCAACUCGACUACAUGAAGCUGGAAUCGCUAGUAAUCGUAGAUCAGCAUGCUACGGUGAAUACGUUCCCGGGUCUUGUACACACCGCCCGUCACACCACGAGAGUUUGUAACACCCGAAGCCGGUGGAGUAACCUUUUAGGAGCUAGCAACAAGGUAGCCGUAUCGGAAGGUGCGGCUGGAUCACCU
rnacentral:rRNA from 1 species